AACCGCAAAGGGCUCAGUAAACCAGUUUUAAUUUACUAGAGUUUUUACGUUUCGUACGUGGAUACCUGUGGUAAUUCUAGAGCUAAUACAUGCAAUAAAGUCCGGACCAGCAAUGGAAUGGACGCUUUUAUUAGAUCAAAACCAUUCGCUCAAUUUAUUUUGGGCGUUGUUUUGAUGAAUCUAGAUAACACAUGUGAUCGUAUAGUCUUGUACUGACGACGUCUCUUUCAAACGCCUGACUUAUCAGCUGUCGAUGGUAGACUCUGUGUCUACCAUGGCCCUCACGGGUAACGGGGAAUCAGGGUUCGAUUCCGGAGAGGGAGCCUGAGAAACGGCUACCACAUCCAAGGAAGGCAGCAGGCACGCAAAUUACCCACUCCCGGCACGGGGAGGUAGUGACAAAAAAUAACGAUACGGGACUCUAUUGAGGCCCCGUAAUCGGAAUGAGUACACUUUAAAUCCUUUAACAAGGAUCCAUUGGAGGGCAAGUCUGGUGCCAGCAGCCGCGGUAAUUCCAGCUCCAAUAGCGUAUAUUAAAGUUGUUGCGGUUAAAAAGCUCGUAGUUGGUUCUGCGUGCCGCGCUGUCGGUUCGCCGCCUGUCGGUGUAACUGGCAUGUCGCGGCAUGUCCUGUCGGUGGUGAACGAGGUUCCCGGCGUUAAACUUGCUUCGGUAAGUUUUUUGCCGUGCGUAAUGUCGUUUGCCGAUCUCUCCUACUCCGGUGCUCUUAAACGAGUGUCGAGGUAGGCCGACACGGUCACUUUGAACAAAUUAGAGUGCUUAAAGCAGGCUGAAAUAUCUGCCUGAAUAGUAGUGCAUGGAAUGAUAAAAUAGGACCUCGGUUCUAUUUUGUUGGUUUUAGGAAGAUGAGGUAAUGAUCAAUGUGGACUGGCGGGGGCAUUCGUAUUGCGACGUUAGAGGUGAAAUUCUUGGAUCGUCGCAG
rnacentral:rRNA from 1 species